AACUCAAAAGGAGGGCUUUGGAGAGCCUCCAAACUGAUGAACGAGUGGAGGUUUGGGAAAAGCAGUGGCUUGAAGAAGGCACAAAAGCACUGGACACUUCCCUCAUACCUUGCCCCGUGCAUCUCUUCUAUCCAGCUGUUCCUGAGUUACAUCCUUUUGUAACAAACUGGUGAUCUAGCAUAGGAAACAAAGAUCUUCGAAGACCCAUCCUCGGCUAACUCCCAGCAUGUAAUUGAGUCACUCAUUAGCAGUUCUUCACUGAGGCCUGAACACAGCAUUAAGGUAAAGGCUGGAGGGAUAGAAAGGUGGAAAAGGCAUGAUCCACACCCUUGCAGAGCACUCGGGACGGCUGGCAAGAUGAGACACGCACUGCAAAAUUAAAUGCCAAGACAAGGCAGGAACUGUUAACGCGAGUGGCUGGGCAUCAAAUGCUGGCCCCGUUCAGAGCACAGGGAGAGAGAUCACUGGAGCUGGAACUCAAGAAGGGCCUUCAGCUGCCCUGAAAUUUGGCAGAAGGUAAGGAGAGACAGAGAAGCAGUGGAGCUCUAGGUAGAGACCCGAUGACACACAGGCAGGUGACACUGGGGAGGAAAGACUGUCCCUGCCGGGACCGUCAGGUAAUGGGUUUGGAGGAAGCCUGGGGCGAGGGUUGGGAAUGGUAAAAAACAAAGUUCAGGUUACUUUCUAAACACUGGCCCAAUCACAAUCAUGUGCCAGGCACUAUGUUUGGAUUUCGACAUUUUAUUGUUUAAGUCCCACAACAAGUGGGCAGGGUGUUAUCCCGUGUUCAUUUGAACACCGGGGCCCAAUGUCACAUGGCUGGUAGAUGGAGAGGCCAGGAGGCAAAGCCAGGUCCGCUCACCUCCACGGUCUGCGCGUUCCAUGGGCGCCCUUUUCGUCCUUUUCCCACUUCUCCAGAUCCCGUUGCUUGUG